UACGAAGGGGGCUAGCGUUGCUCGGAAUUACUGGGCGUAAAGCGCGCGUAGGCGGUCUUUUAAGUCGGGGGUGAAAUCCUGGAGCUCAACUCCAGAACUGCCUUCGAUACUGGAAGACUUGAGUCCGGGAGAGGUGAGUGGAACUGCGAGUGUAGAGGUGAAAUUCGUAGAUAUUCGCAAGAACACCAGUGGCGAGGGCGGCUCACUGGCCCGGUACUGACGCUGAGGUGCGAAAGCGUGGGGAGCAAACAGG
rnacentral:rRNA from 1 species